GCGUUGCCCGGAAUUAUUGGGCGUAAAGGGCUCGUAUGCGGUUUGUCGCGUCGGGAGUGAAAACACUGGGCUUAACCGAGUGCUUGCUUUCGAUACGGGCAGACUAGAGGCAUUCAGGGGAGAACGGAAUUCCUGGUGUAGCGGUGAAAUGCGCAGAUAUCAGGAGGAACACCGGUGGCGAAGGCGGUUCUCUGGGAAUGUCCUGACGCUGAGGAGCGAAAGUGUG
rnacentral:rRNA from 1 species